rnacentral:rRNA from 1 species
UAGGGAAUCUUCGGCAAUGGACGAAAGUCUGACCGAGCAACGCCGCGUGAGUGAAGAAGGUUUUCGGAUCGUAAAACUCUGUUGUUAGAGAAGAACAAGGACGUUAGUAACUGAACGUCCCCUGACGGUAUCUAACCAGAAAGCCACGGCUAAAUACGUGCCAGCAGCCGCGGUAAUACGUAGGUGGCAAGCUUUGUCCGGAUUUAUUGGGCGUAAAGCGAGCGCAGGCGGUUUCUUAAGUCUGAUGUGAAAGCCCCCGGCUCAACCGGGGAAGGUCAUUGGAAACUGGGAGACUUGAGUGCAGAAGAGGAGAGUGGAAUUCCAUGUGUAGCGGUGAAAUGCGUAGAUAUAUGGAGGAACACCAGUGGCGAAGGCGGCUCUCUGGUCUGUAACUGACGCUGAGGCUCGAAAGCGUGGGGAGCAAACAGG